rnacentral:rRNA from 1 species
GUAGGUGGCAAGCGUUGUCCGGAAUUAUUGGGGCGUAAAGCGCGCGCAGGCGGUUUCUUAAGUCUGAUGUGAAAGCCCACGGGCUCAACCGUGGAGGGUCAUUGGAAACUGGGGAACCUGAGUGCAGAAGAGGAAAGUGGAAUUCCACGUGUAGCGGUGAAAUGCGUAGAGAUGUGGAGGAACACCAGUGGCGAAGGCGACUUUCUGGUCUGUAACUGACGCUGAGGCGCGAAAGCGUGGGGAGCAAACAGGAUUAGAUACCCUGGUAGUCCACGCCGUAAACGAUGAGUGCUAAGUGUUAGAGGGUUUCCGCCCUUUAGUGCUGCAGCUAACGCAUUAAGCACUCCGCCUGGGGAGUACGGUCGCAAAGACUG